GCGUGAGUGAUGAAGGCCUUAGGGUUGUAAAGCUCUUUCACCGGUGAAGAUAAUGACGGUAACCGGAGAAGAAGCCCCGGCUAACUUCGUGCCAGCAGCCGCGGUAAUACGAAGGGGGCUAGCGUUGUUCGGAUUUACUGGGCGUAAAGCGCACGUAGGCGGAUUGAUAAGUUAGGGGUGAAAUCCCGGAGCUCAACUCCGGAACUGCCUCUAAUACUGUCAAUCUCGAGUCCGAGAGAGGUGAGUGGAACUCCUAGUGUAGAGGUGGAAUUCGU
rnacentral:rRNA from 1 species